AGAGCGAACGCUGGCGGCAGGCCUAACACAUGCAAGUCGAGCGCCCGUAGCAAUACGGGAGCGGCAGACGGGAUAGUAACACGUGGGAACGCGCCCUUCGGUUCGGAAUAACUCAGGGAAACUUGAGCUAAUACCGAAUACGCCCUUACGGGGAAAGAUUUAUUGCCGAAGGAACGGCCCGCGUCCGAUUAGCUAGUUGGUGAGGUAAUGGCUCACCAAGGCUACGAUCGGUAGCUGGUCUGAGAGGAUGACCAGCAUCACUGGGACUGAGACACGGCCCAGACUCCUACGGGAGGCAGCAGUGGGGAAUAUUGGACAAUGGGCGCAAGCCUGAUCCAGCCAUGCCGCGUGGAUGAUGACGGCCUUAGGGUUGUAAAGUCCUUUUAACGGGGAAGAUAAUGACGGUACCGUAGAAUAAGCCCGGCUAACUUCGUGCCAGCAGCCGC
rnacentral:rRNA from 1 species